GUUGGUGUGUGUGGGUCUUGGGGUCCCGGUGAUUGUAGGCAAGCGUGUUAACAGGGGUGACGCAGACAGGUAGCUGCAGUGCGCCGAUGGUUGUGCGUAUUUAAGGUUGUGGCCCGUCCCUCAGGUAAAUCCGGGGGGCAUGUGGGUGAGAACUGAUGAGGGUGACACGGUUGUGUUGUCUUGUGGUGAUCCUAUGCUGCCGAGAAAAGCCUCGACGUGAGGGCAUGACGCGCCCGUACCCUAAACCGACUCAGGUGGUCAGGUAGAGUAUACCGAGGCGUUCGAGUGAAUCGUGGUUAAGGAACUCGGCAAAAUUCCUCCGUAACUUCGGGAUAAGGAGGACCCCGUGACUUCCCCGCACCGUGCGUGUGGGUGGGGUUGUGGGGUCGCAGAGAAUAGGGAGAAGCGACUGUUUAUCAAAAACACAGGUGCGUGCGAAGCCGUAAGGCGAUGUAUACGCACUGACGCCUGCCCGGUGCUGGAAGGUUAAGAGGAACUGUUAACGCUCCUUUGUGGGUGUGAAGCGGUGAAUUUAAGCCCCAGUAAACGGCGGUGGUAACUAUAACCAUCCUAAGGUAGCGAAAUUCCUUGUCGGGUAAGUUCCGACCUGCACGAAUGGCGUAACGACUUCUCCGCUGUCUCGACCGCGAACUCGGUGAAAUUGCAGUACGAUAAAGAUGCUCGUUUCGCGCAGAAGGACGGAAAGACCCCGGGACCUUUACUAUAGCUUGGUAUUGGUGUUCGCUUGGACUUGUGUAGGAUAGGUGGGAGACUGUGAAGCUGCCGCGCCAGCGGUGGUGGAGUCGUCGUUGAAAUACCAUUCUGGUUCAAGCGGUCACCUCAACCUUGGCCCGUGAUCCGGGUUGGGGACAGUGCCUGGUGGGUAGUUUAACUGGGGCGGUUGCCUCCUAAAAUGUAACGGAGGCGCUCAAAGGUUCCCUCAGCCUGGUUGGUAAUCAGGUGGCGAGUGCAAGUGUACAAGGGAGCUUGACUGUGAGACCGACGGGUCGAGCAGGUGCGAAAGCAGGAACUAGUGAUCCGGCCAUGGCACGUGGGUGCGUGGUCGCUCAACGGAUAAAAGGUACCCCGGGGAUAACAGGCUGAUCUUGCCCAAGAGUCCAUAUCGACGGCAUGGUUUGGCACCUCGAUGUCGGCUCGUCGCAUCCUGGGGCUGGAGUUGGUCCCAAGGGUUGGGCUGUUCGCCCAUUAAAGCGGUACGCGAGCUGGGUUCAGAACGUCGUGAGACAGUUCGGUCCCUAUCCUCUGUGCGCGUAGGAAAUUUGAGAAGGGCCGUCCCUAGUACGAGAGGACCGGGAUGGACGAACCUCUGGUGUGCCAGUUGUACCGCCAGGUGCAUGGCUGGUUGGCUACGUUCGGAAGGGAUAACCGCUGAAAGCAUCUAAGCGGGAAGCCUGCUUCAAGAUGAGGUUUCCACGCCCCCACUGUGGGGUGAGAGGCCCCCGCCAGACUAGCGGGUUGAUAGGCCAGAGGUGGAAGCACCGCGAGGUGCUCGUGAGCCGACUGGUACUAAUGGACCAACACC
rnacentral:rRNA from 1 species